CAGGAAGAAAAUUUUAAAAGUCCCAGCACAUACAGAGGAAGCAAGGCAACUCAAAGAGAAAGAAUCGUUUGAACGUCUGGUUCUUCUAGACCGGACCCAGGAACUGAGAUGUCUGGAGAAAGAAAACCUACAGCUGAAUAUGCUCUUGAGAUUGGAUAAACCUCGACGUCUUGAGAGAGAAACCACCAAGGAAGAACAGCUUGCCAAUGAUACACAGGAACCAGGUGGGGUCAUCAAGCAGUAGAAGCUUCAUGAGUCCCUGGCAAAGAACUGUGGAUGGUACAACAGCAGAAAACAAGCAAGAACAUCUUGAGAAGACGAAGCGUCAUCGGGACAGACAUGAAUUAAAUAAACAAUGGCUUAAAGCCUGUCUGGACAGUCUCAAAACUAAAACGACAAAAGAAUCCAGGCGAAAUGUAUUGCAGUGGCUGCAAAAAUGCCGUAAAAGCCUUAAUGGAAAGUCCUGCCAAGCAGGACCUAGUAUCUCCCUGGGAACAUGGCUUGUGAAUUCCUGGAUCAAGUUUGAGAAGGAACAUCCUGAAGAAUUCAUGGGGGAUGUGGCUAGUUGGCUGGAGAUAUCCCUAAAACAUAUGGAACUGAGAGGGCCAAAAACACGUGCUUUGACACCAGAGGAAUGGCUUGAAGCAUCUGUUAAAGCCAUUCAAAAUCUAUUGAAUUCUGAAGCAAAUCUCAAAGUAGCCUACGAUGGCUUGUAAAGUCAUUAAAGAAAUCAACAUUCUGAAAGAUGUGUGGAGAAUAUAAUGGAUUCCCUGGAUCUUUAGUAAGCCUCUCACUUCAGCAACCCUUCUAAAACCUGCAAGGGGUUCAGCAAUCCUGAGGCAUCUAAAGUAUGUGAAAAAGUGGCUUGAAAUAGCCAUAAAUCAUCUCCAUGAAGAAGAGCCAGAAACAUCCCAUCUAAAUUUGGAGGAGGGAUUGGAAGCAUCUAAACGUGGCCUGCAGGAGGAAAUACUUCAAGAGAUGAUAGGAAACAAAGAUCCUGAAAUAUGCAGAAAAAAAAUACAUGUUUCCAAAGGAAUUCUUUCUCACAGAAAACAGGAAUGUGAAGAGCCAAAAUAAAUAAUUAUAUUCAGGCCUCCUGGAUCAUCCAGCAUGGUGCUUUAUGAAGGAGAGGUGUCACAUUUUGCUGAAGACCUGAAGAAAUGGAAGGAGAGAUACACAUUGAAAGUAAUCACACUGUGGAAAGUUUUGAAAGCAAAGAGGUUCCAGUGAAAAGGAGAAUACCCAGGCUUUUGUUGUCCCUCCAAAGGAAUUUCCAGUCUACCUGUGGCAGCCAUUCCUUAGACAUAAUUAUUACUGUUUUCCGGAUUUAGAAGCUCAGAAGCAAUUCAGCACCAUGCUGAACGAUUGCAUCAGGCACUUAAACCAUGUUAACAACUUUUGACAAUGGAAUGCAGGAGAAGGAAGAAAAAGUGAAAUUUCCAAGACUGGAAAACAAAUUUGAAGAGCUGAGGCGUCUGGAAAGAGAAACCACCGAGGAACAACAGCUUGCCACUGAUACACAGGAACCAGGUGGGGUCAUCAAGCAGUAGAGAUUUCAACAGAGGCUUCAUGAGUCUCUGGCAAAGAACUGUGGAUAGUACAAUAGUAGAAAACACGCAAGAACCUCUUGAAAAGAUGAAACGUCAUCGGGACAGACAUGAACUCAAUAAACAAUGGCUUAAAGCCUGUCUGCAGAACCUAAAAACUAAAACGACAAAAGAAUCCAGGCGAAAUGUAUUGCAGUGGCUGCAAAAAUGUUGUAAAAGCCUUAAUGAAAAGUCGUACCAACCAGGACCUAGUGUCUCCCUGAGAACAUGGCUUGUAAAUUCCUGGAUCAAGUUUGAGAAAGAACAUCCUGAAGCAUUCCUCGGGGAUGUGGCUAAUUGGCUGGAGAUAUCCCUAAAACACAUGGAAGUAAGCAGGCCAAAAACAUGUGCUUUGACACAAGAGGAAUGCCUUGAAGCAUCUGUUAAAGCCAUUCAAAAUCUAUUGAAUUCUGAAGCAAAUCUCAAAGUAGCCUAAGAAGGCUUGAAAAAUCAUUAAACAAAUCAACAUUCUGAAGGAUGCGUGGAGAGUAUAAUGGAUUCCAGGAUCUUUAGUAAGCCUCUCACUUCAGCAAUCCUUCAAAAACCUGCAAGGGGUUCAGCAAUCCUGCAGCAUCUAAAGUAUGUGGAAAAAGUAGCUUCAAAUAGCCAUAAAUCACCUCCAUGAAGAAGAGCCAGAAACAUCCCAUCUAAAUUUGGAGGAGGGAUUGGAAGCAUCUAGACACAGCCUGCAGGAGGAAAUACUUCAAAAGAUGAUAGGAAACAAAGAUCCUGAAAUAUCCAGGAAAAAAAUACAUGUUUUCAAAUGAAUCCUUUCUCACAGAAAACAGGCAAAGAGCCGGUGUUUCCUGGAGGUGUUUCCGUGGUCAUGUGUCCAGCUUGACAGCAUGGUGCAACACAGAGGGUAUGGUGAUAUACAGAACCAACCAGGACCUAGUAUGUGCCUGACAACUUGGCUUGUAAAUUCCUGGAUCAAGUUUCAGAAGGAACAUCCUGAAGCAUUCCUGGGGGAUGUGGAUAAUUGGCUGGAGAUAUCUGUAAAUCAUACGGAAGUUACAGUGCCAGAAACAUAUGAUUUGACACCAGAGGAAUGGUGAAAAUACCUAGAUUCCUGUGCAAAAAGUAUCACUAUGUACUUUAGGCUAGAGAAAAUGA